CCUUUCUUUUUUGUUUAAUGCUAUCCACACAUAUUACCUUUAUCAAGUCAGUGUCUCCUUUCCCUUUCCUUUACCAACCACAAAGUCUAUGACAUUAACAAACAAAAACAUAAAAAAAAUUCUGAUAUUUUCAUACAAAACACAAUUCUUUCUUACAUUACCAAAAAAAAAAAAAACAUGACAAGUACAGACUAGUAAAUCAUAACAACACAACAAUCUUAAUUACCUCGUCGAGAGAAUGAUAAUCAUCAGCAAUCCUUGAAUAUCUCCUAUCCAACUUCCUAUUCGGCCG
rnacentral:lncRNA from 1 species